AGACCGUGAUGUAGGCAUUUCCUUAGUAGCUCUUUGAACCUCUCUCAUGCCUCGUACAAGGAUUCCCCGUCUUCUUGAUAGUAGGUGUUAAUCUCGGUCAUGAGUUU
rnacentral:snoRNA from 1 species